rnacentral:sRNA from 1 species
UUUCCUCAGUGCUGGACCACCUGGGAAUGGGAACACGAGAAAGACUUUUGCACUUGUUCUGGCAGCCGAGCGGGUAAAUAAAAACCAAAUUUGCAUAGCAUUUUGUACACGGGACUGGGACUGAGGCUUGGGACUAAGAGGAGGUGGACUCUGGGCCUGAUAAACUGGGGCUGCUCCAGGCAGGUGGCCUCACCUGAAGCUGUCCACUAAGGAGGAACAUUUUGAUGAUCGCGUUGGACUUUUACGACACACUUUGUGGGUAUUUAUGCGGUGCAUCUAUCUAUAACCGACUUGGGUGGUAAAUCGAGCAUUUCGGCCAGCCACUCAUUAGCUCUGCCGGCCAUAAAUGUUUUGAUUUGUGGCUAAUUCCAAAUUCAGUUUGCAACGGGUACAAAACAGCACCAACAACUAGAGUGACGGUUUAAUGAGCCAAAAACAACAUAGAACAAGAAAAUAGUACAAGAAAAGUAAGGGAGUCGAACCCAGUUGAACUUUGACUCGGCGACUCUCAAGUGUUUAAUGUGCUUUUGGACAGAAGACAGUGAGGGGGAGCUGCGAAUGCAAAGUGGAAUGCAAAUCUUGUGAAAGCGAUCGCGGCAAAUUGAAAAUCAUAUUUGUCUUGCCCAGCUCUCGCCUCUCUCCAGCAGCAUUACAAUCAAAAUGUGGAACAAGUUCAAUCGAAAGGCCCUUAGGGGCCCAUGCCCAAAACGAUCAGCGAAAGAAGCAAGCUACACUUUAGAAAAAAACAUAUAUUGUAAUAAUUCAAAGCCAGGCCAAGGCGAGUCUACUCACAGGCUAUCAUCAAGCAGCCGGCCAGCAUCGAUGUGGCCCAAAAGCCUGGCCAAAACCAAAGCAAAACUCAAACCAAAAGCCCAAGACUCAAAGGCAAAGGCAAAGGCAAACCGCACCCGCACCACCAGAUCGGCAGCAGCAGCAGCACCACCACCACCACAAAGAGCACCACUCGUGAUCAUUGUUUGAUGUCUGGUGGAUUGUGGUGCCAUUUGGGCCGUGUGGGUGUGGGUGUCUGUGGGAGUUGAAUGAUCUUCGCCCAAACGCUUUCCCAGGCCCCGGACGCGGACUGAAGGCUGGACCCAAUAUGAAAUCCGCGAACCCCAAAUCCGAAUCCGAAUCGCAAUCCAACUUUCGGGGCAGUUUUUGGAGCGAAAAGAUAGGCAAUUAAUGAUCUGGAAAGUGGUUUAUCUGGAGGCUGUCAAAAGCAAUAUACACGUGGUCUAUCCUCUCCUGCCACGAGAUCAUCUUCGUGUGUGGAGGCAUUCUGCAAAGGUUUGUCAGCUCGUUGGCCUCGGUUUUG